rnacentral:lncRNA from 1 species
CUUUGCAUUCUUUACUAUCACUUGUGUCAUAUACACUACUAUAUUCUUGGACUCAUGCCACACUUGUUUUCUAAGUGUUCAACAUGCCAUAAGUGUUUCCACUAUACUAAUCAUAUGCCACUCGAUCUAAUAUAUAUAGAUUGUCCACGUCACAUAUCAUAGUUCAUACGUCAUUGUUUUCCAACGUCGAGUUUUCUAACCAUCCAAGAGUUAUAGACCCAAGUUCAACAUGCAUAUGUUAUUUAACAUAGUCCACAAUACACCAACGUGCAUAUAUAUAUCAACUCAUAUCUCAAGGUAUAUCAACAUGCAUACAUUUCCAUCUACUAUGUUCCACAAUAUGAUAAUAUGUCAUCAAGUAUGUUUUUCUAUUUAAUAUAAUCCACAAUAUGUUAAUUCAUAAUAUGUCAUCAUGCACAUAUACCACUAGCAUCACAUGAUAUGUCAAUAUAGAUAUAGUCAUUAUCCAAAAUAGUUCAUACUUAGAAUCUCAUGCAUUCUUUUAGCAUUUAAUUUACUAUGCAUCUCAUCUCAUUGGUAGGUAAUCUCAACUACAUAGUAUGUUUCAAGCAUUCAUAUCAUUAUGUAAGCCUACCAACACAACUAUAUGCAUCAAUUAGAAAACCAUUACUCUUAGACAUAUAGGCGACCUAGUCGCUUCGGUGAGCACAACCCACCAGCAUGCCAUGACAUGUAACAAUUGCCAACUAGUACCCUAUAAUGCAAUAUCCCAAUAUGCAACUUGAUCAAUGUUAACUAGAGUUUGUAGUACAACAACCAAUCCAUUACUAAGUUCAAGUCAUAUGUGUUUUUAGCACAAUAAGUUCAAUGCCACUUGUAAACUAUGUCUUUAAACACAACACUAGGUUCUUCUCUCAUUUAGCAUCAUAGGUUUACCAAUGUCCUCUCAUAAUCCUUAUGUCUAUUACAUCAUAUAUCCAUAUCAUAAUACCAUAUUGAUCAUAAACAUCAUAUAAGGAUUAGGAAUGCAUGUAUUGUCAUCCUAUAAUGCAAGGUAUCGAUAUACAAUAUGCUACAUGUGAAUGGAUAAGUACUAAGACAUAGGAAGAAGCCCGAUUGCUUCGGGAUGUCACUCCCCCACUUUAAGUCCUUGCUCGAGGUUGUGGUAGCUCCCCCUCGGGUGAUGUGCUCCGGAGUCGACAUCACUGGGUUGUAGCGGGUAUCUCCCCAGAGGACGGUCCCACCGGGUUGUAGCGGGUAUCUCCCCGGUUAAUGGGAUUUUGGGU